CUACGGGACGCACCAGUGGGGAAUAUUGGGCAAUGGGCGAAAGCCUGACCCAGCCACGCCGCGUGAAGGAAGAAGGUUUUCGGAUCGUAAACUUCUAUCCCAGGUGAAGAUAAUGACGGUAGCCUGGAAGGAAGCCCCGGCAACUACGUGCCAGCAGCCGCGGUAAUACGUAGGGGGCAAGCGUUGUCCGGAAUGAUUGGGCGUAAAGGGCGCGUUGGCGGCCUUCUAAGUCCGAUGUGAAAGUCCUGCUUUUAAGGUGGGAAUUGCAUUGGAAACUGGAGGGCUUGAGUGCAGGAGAGGUAAGUGGAAUUCCCGGUGUAGCGGUGAAAUGCGUAGAGAUCGGGAGGAACACCAGUGGCGAAGGCGACUUACUGGACUGUAACUGACGCUGAGGCGCGAAAGUGUGGGGAGCAAACAGGAUUAGAUACCCUAGUAGUC
rnacentral:rRNA from 1 species